UACAGGGGGUGCAAACGUUGCUCGGAAUCAUUGGGCGUAAAGCGCACGUAGGCGGUCUGUUAUGUCGGAUGUGAAAGCCCUCGGCUUAACUGAGGAAGUGCAUCCGAAACUGGCAGGCUAGAGUACUAAAGAGGGUCGCGGAAUUCCCGGUGUAGAGGUGAAAUUCGUAGAUAUCAGGAGGAACACCGGUGGCGAAGGCAGGUCUCUGGGCCACUACUGACGCUGAGAAGCGAAAGCAUGGGGAGCGAACGAGG
rnacentral:rRNA from 1 species